GAGGAAGUAAAAGUCGUAACAAGGUUUCCGUAGGUGAACCUGCGGAAGGAUCAUUAACGAGUUUUGAAACGGGUUGUAGCUGGCCUUCCGAGGCAUGUGCACGCCCUGCUCAUCCACUCUACCCCUGUGCACUUACUGUAGGUUGGCGUGGGCUCCUUCACGGGAGCAUUCUGCCGGCCUAUGUAUACUACAAACACUAUAAAGUAUCAGAAUGUGAACGCGUCUAACGCAUAUAAUACAACUUUUAGCAACGGAUCUCUUGGCUCUCGCAUCGAUGAAGAACGCAGCGAAAUGCGAUAAGUAAUGUGAAUUGCAGAAUUCAGUGAAUCAUCGAAUCUUUGAACGCACCUUGCGCUCCUUGGUAUUCCGAGGAGCAUGCCUGUUUGAGUGUCAUGGAAUUCUCAACUUAUAAAUCCUUGUGAUCUAUAAGCUUGGACUUGGAGGCUUGCUGGCCCUUGCGGUCGGCUCCUCUUGAAUGCAUUAGCUUGAUUCCGUACGGAUCGGCUCUCAGUGUGAUAAUUGUCUACGCUGUGACCGUGAAGUGUUUUGGCAAGCUUCUAACCGUCCAUUAGGACAAUCUUUUAACAUCUGACCUCAAAUCAGGUAGGACUACCCGCUGAACUUAAGCAUAUCA
rnacentral:rRNA from 1 species